GGAGAGGUGACCGAGAGGCCGAAGGUGCCUGAUUCGAAAUCAGGUGUGGUGCAAGCCACCGCGGGUUCGAAUCCCGCUCUCUCCGCCA
rnacentral:tRNA from 1 species